rnacentral:misc_RNA from 1 species
ACUUUCAUCAUCAAUGCAAUAUCUCCCCACAAAAAAAAAUUCAAGCCGAAUAAAUUUUAGCCUGAGCACAUAAACCCUUAAUAACCAAUUUAUUCAAAUCCCUGAAGGCUGAAGCUGCACCUCUACUAAGCCCUAGCUGAGCCUGAAUAUGAUACUAACAUUAGAAAGAUCAAAGGGCUAAACCUUAAGGAAGAGAUAACAAAACACAAUAAGAUUUUCA